GUAAAUCUUUAUAUAUGAAACUGGAAAUAACUACGGCAAUUUUUUUAACAAUUUCAACUUUAACAUAUAACACCCAACAAAGCAACAUCUUCGAAAAGUUAAGAUCACGCCAACUGCAUCGCUUCCUGGCGUUUGAUAUCGAAGACCUUCAGCAGCACUUCCUCCACAACCUUGUCAGGUGUAGAAGCACCUGAAGUUAUUCCAAUAGUAACCGGACCAAGAGGUAACCAGUUUUCUUUCUCAACGAGCUCUCCGUGAUUUAGCUUGUAACUUAUUUUGUUUCCAGGUCCAACUCUGAGCUCACUGUCGAUCCAGUAAGAGGGAAUGCCACGAUCCUCUGCAAUCUCUUGUAAAUGUGAGGUAUUGCUGGAGUUCCACCCACCGACGACUAGCAAGAGAUCAAGUUUCUCCUCUACUAGUUUAUACAUAGCAUCUUGUCUCUCCUGAGUUGCAUCACAGAUUGUGUUGAAGCUUAUGAAAUGCUCAUUAACAUUUUCCACUCCGUACUUGCGCAUCAUAGUCUUCUCAACCAAUUUACCAAUGGCUUCAGUUUCGCCUUUGAGCAUUGUAGUUUGAUUUGCAAUGCCAAGUUUUACUAAAUCAGCAUCAGGAUCAAAUCCCGGAGAGAUGGCAUACUUGAAUUUCUCGAGAAAUUCCUCUUUUGUUGAGCUAGACCCAUCAAGCUCGCCU
rnacentral:misc_RNA from 1 species